UGCGUAACGCGUGAGCAACAUGCCCGUAUCAGGGGGAUAAUCCAGGGAAACUUGGUCUAAUACCCCAUAGUAAUCAUAUCAGGCAUCUGGUAUGAUUUAAAGCUUAGGUGGAUACGGAUUGGCUCGCGUGACAUUAGCUAGAUGGUAAGGUAACGGCUUACCAUGGCUAUGAUGUCUAGGGGUUCUGAGAGGAAGGUCCCCCACACUGGAACUGAGACACGGUCCAGACUCCUACGGGAGGCAGCAGUGAGGAAUAUUGGACAAUGGAUGGAAAUCUGAUCCAGCCAUGCCGCGUGAAGGACGACGGUCCUAUGGAUUGUAAACUUCUUUUGUAUGGGAGCAAUAAGGUCUACGUGUAGAUCGAUGAGAGUACCAUACGAAUAAGCAUCGGCUAACUCCGUGCCAGCAGCCGCGGUAAUACGGAGGAUGCGAGCGUUAUCCGGAUUUAUUGGGUUUAAAGGGUGCGUAGGCGGUUGUAUAAGUCAGCGGUGAAAUUUUCCGGCUUAACCGGGAGACUGCCGUUGAUACUGUAUAGCUUGAAUACGGUUGCUGUGAGUGGAAUGUGUGGUGUAGCGGUGAAAUGCAUAGAUAUCACACAGAAUAUCGAUUGCGAAGGCAGCUCACAAAGCCGUUAUUGACGCUGAUGCACGAAAGUGUGGGGAUCAAACAGGAUUAGAUACCCUGGUAGUCCACACUGUAAACGAUGAUAACUAGCUGUCGGCGAUACAUAGUCGGUGGCCAAGCGAAAGCGAUAAGUUAUCCACCUGGGGAGUACGAUCGCAAGGUUGAAACUCAAAGGAAUUGACGGAAGGCCUAAA
rnacentral:rRNA from 1 species